AUGCCUUUCUUGGAUGUGCAGAAAAGGUUCGGCCUUAACGUAGAUCGAUGGUUGACAAUCCAAAGUGCUGAACAGCCCUACAAGAUUCCUGGUCGAUGUCAUGCUUUUGAAAAAGAAUAGAUAGAAAGUGCACAUGGAAUCGGUAGUAUCUGGGCAGAGAAAGAGUGCAAGAUAGAAUAUGAUGAUUUCACAGAGAGUAUACUUAGGCAGAAAACGAUGAGACAUGUGAGUACUAUGAGGAAGCAGCAGGAUAAGCUGAUAAAGGAAAGGAAGUGCACCCCUCCACCUCACCAUGUGGGCAAGGGGGAGCCUCAGCCCUGA
rnacentral:lncRNA from 1 species